rnacentral:rRNA from 1 species
GACGAACGCUGGCGGCGUGCUUAACACAUGCAAGUCGAACGGAAAGGCCCUGCUUUUGUUGGGUGCUCGAGUGGCGAACGGGUGAGUAACACGUGUGUAACCUGCCCUUGACUUUGGGAUAACUUCAGGAAACUCGGGCUAAUAUCGGAUAGGAGCUCCUGCUGCAUGGUGGGGGUUGGAAAGUUUCGGCGGUUGGGGAUGGACUCGCGGCUUAUCAGCUUGUUGGUGGGGUAGUGGAUUACCAAGGCUUUGACGGGUAGCCGGCCUGAGAGGGUGACCGGGCACAGUGGGCCUGGGAUACGGCCCAGACUGCUACGGGCGGCAGCAGUGGGGAAUAUAGCACAAUGGGCGGAAGCCGGAUGCAGCAACGCCGCGUGCGGGAUGACGGCCUUCGGGUUGUAAACCGCUUUCGCCUGUGACGAAGCGUGAGUGACGGUAAUGGGUAAAGAAGCACCGGCUAACUACGUG